GCCUGGGUGGCUCAGUCGGUUGAGCGUCCGACUUCGGCUCAGGUCAUGAUCUCACAGUCUGUGGGUUCGAACCCCGCAUCGGUCU
rnacentral:tRNA from 1 species